UGAAUGCCAAUUCAUAUUUUCUCAUUUUCUUCUAGAUUCAUGGGCUGCUUCUUUCACAUGAUGCUUAUAUGACCAAAGCCACUGAAAUUGUUUCCAAGUCGUCUUUGAUUGAAAUAUCUUCACAAGUUAUUAAUUUUCAUAAUUUGAAGAUGGCGUCACAUAGGUCCCUUAGAGUACGGAAUAUAGAACCAUCUUCACCGAAGAUAAAUAAUCGUCAUAGCUGGUUGAUUUUUCCCCCGCCAGCAGAACGAUCACCAGCACCACCACAGCACCGCCUCCACCACUGAAUUCAUAGUAUAUAAGCAUGCAAAUUGCUUCGAUGGUUUAUUGAUAGAGAGCCAAGGAGGUCAGCAAGGGUUCAUAAGCCUAACUACAGAUAUGAGGGCUUUGUUUGAACAUUUAUCAAUCUCAUGCAGCCAUGCAUGUGGUCAUGCAUGUUGCAUGCAAAAUCAUGCAAGACUUAUCUACGUAUGGAUUAAAGAGUAGUUGUUUGUUGGAGCAAGGCAAGGAAAUUACCACGUCAAGCCACGUUGCGGAUCGAGUGGAGAAUCAAAUCAAGUGG
rnacentral:lncRNA from 1 species